UGGUAUGAUCCGAGCUCAGGCACUAAGCGACUGAGCGAGGGGGCGGGGGGAGCUGCUGCCUCGAGUGCGCUGUUGGAGAAACGCAGCCAGGCAGACAGAGGAGAACUGAAGUUUGACCAGUUGUUACCCUCCAUGGCUAAAUAAAUCGGUUUCAGUAAUGUACUGAUAUACAAGAAUGGACAUAAGGAGCUUCUUUCAAAG